UCUUAUCCUCUUCUUCCUUAUAAUACCAAUUAUUUAGUCUCCUAUCAUAUGCUAACUUGCGUCCUCUCUCUUCCAUUCAACUAAGACCAUUUUCUCUCAUCAUUUUCUUACUUCCUGGACCGAGAGAGAGAAGCAACACCCAAGUGUUUUUAUUUUAUUUUAUAGCAUAUAAAGAAAUCAGCCACACAAAGCUUGUUCCCUUCCUAGUAAAUAUGAGAUUCAUUCCUCACCCAGUAAAACAACUUAUCUAUUUGUGGCGAUGGAGAAUCUUCGAAGGAGCUUAACCUUUGUGCGAGUAGAGAUGAAGACUUGAAGGACAGUGGAGUACUCGACGAGUAGAGUCGGGUUUAAGGCUAGAGACUUGGGUUAGAGAGCUUACCGUUUUUGGUUUAAGCUUGCAUAAAGAUUUUAGGAAUUUAUAUUUGAGGUUUCGGGUAGGUUCUGAUGCAUUGCUUUCCUGCGGUUUCCCGUUGUGGAGAUCGUAGGGAGUAUGUCGGAUUCAUGGUGUCAUUGCAUAAUAGGUUUUUUAUUGAGUUGUUUCUAUUGGGUAGGUUUUGUAGUUGGGAGUAUGUAUGACAUGUUUUGGAAAUACACUUCGAAAAGAAAAAAAAAUAUACUUAUGUUUAUA